rnacentral:RNase_P_RNA from 1 species
AUGUUCGGGCAAUCGCUCUGUUCAUGCAGGACAGAGAGGAAAGUCCAUGCUCGCACAACCUUAAAGGGUUGUAACGAUCGUGCCUGACGAAACCAUAAGUCAGGGCAGCCCGGAUAUCCGGGCUGACGGCGCAAGGAACACCUACGUUCUUUUUGAAGAAUACGGUUAUCCUUCUGAAAGUGCCACAGUGACGAAGUCUUCGUGGAAACGCGAAGAGUGGAACGCGGUAAACCCCGCGAGCGAGUAACCCAAAAAUAUGGUAGGGGCACUCUCCCCGUUGGAAACGACAGGGAGAGGCGAUUGGUUCGCAGAUAGAUGAUUGCCAUCGCCAUGCAAGGUGAACAGCCGUAGCACGGCGAUACAGAACAUGGCUUACAGAA